rnacentral:rRNA from 1 species
GUGGGGAAUCUUCCACAAUGGGUGAAAGCCUGAUGGAGCAACGCCGCGUGAAGGAUGAAGGUCUUCGGAUUGUAAACUUCUUUUAUGAGUGAAGAAUAUGACGGUAACUCAUGAAUAAGCACCGGCUAACUACGUGCCAGCAGCCGCGGUCAUACGUAGGGUGCAAGCAUUAUCCGGAGUGACUGGGCGUAAAGAGUUGCGUAGGCGGUUAUGUAAGCGAAUAGUGAAACCUGGUGGCUCAACCACACAGACUAUUAUUCGAACUGCAUAACUCGAGAAUGGUAGAGGUAACUGGAAUUUCUUGUGUAGGAGUGAAAUCCGUAGAUAUAAGAAGGAACACCAAUGGCGUAGGCAGGUUACUGGGCCAUUUCUGACGCUAAGGCACGAAAGCGUGGGGAGCGAACCGGAUUAGAAACCCGUGUAGUCC